CUAACUUCUCUUUUACCCUCCCCUUCCCUGAGCCCAGGCCUCCCCGCCUUCCCGGAGCAGAAGCCUGCGCUCCGCAGGUGGAAGCGCGCCCGGGGCCAGGCUCUGGCCUCACCCCCAGCGGCGUCCGGCCCAACCCCCUGCUCGUCCCAGCCUCGCUCCACUCUUGGCGCCUCCAGCCGGAAAGCGUGGGGGCGUGGGGAGGAAGGCUGGGUAGAGUCCUGCAGGCGGAUCGUGUGGACCCCUUCUUCUUCUUUUUUUUUUUUUUUUUUUUUUUUUCGCAUCUAAACGGUUUCGUGCUCCUUGAAACCUCUCUCCAAAGUUCAUUUCAGGUUUUCUUUAGGGUGCUUGCGGACCAUGGACGGUGUCUGGGGAGUAUAACUGAGCCUUAAACGGUGUUUACCUCCAAGUUGGACUGCUGGUCCCAAGCAACCGGAGUCGGGGAUGACCCUGACCUUGCGUCUGGUUCUGUAACUCCCACCUUCCCGGGGUGGGCUUUCCUUGAUGGGAUCUGAACCCCCACCAGUGGCGCAGGGACCCAAUGCUGGGCGGGUGGUCCUUGAUACUCUGCCGCUAAAUUCGCCGGAGGAAAUCCCCUUCCCUUUCACUGAGGAUCAGCUGCAAGUGCGUUCCCGUGCAGACACUACUGAUACAUUUUCAGAACCGAGCGACCAUGAAGGAAGACGAACCAUGAGGUGAGAACCACGUCUUGACCUCAAAGCUCUGUGCUUUUCGUCGUGGGAAGUCUCGGGAUUGUUCCUGACAGUUACACUUAAGAGCUCAUUACAGAUCAUUGGGCCGAAUUGGCACUGAGCCGCUAUGUGGGAAAUUGGUGAAAAUUUACAUCUAUAAAAGAGUGGACCAUUUCACAAUAUAUACAUAUAUCAAAUCAUUCUAUUGUUUAUCUGAAGCGAAUACAGUGUUAUAUGUCAAUAAAAAAUAGUACAUGUGCAGCGGG